rnacentral:misc_RNA from 1 species
AACGCACCUUGCGCUCUUUGGUAUUCCAAAGAGCAUGUCUGUUUGAGUGUCGCUAAACUAUCAAAAAGAAUUUUUCUUUUUGGAAUUUGGGGGGUUGAGUGCCGGGUUCUCUCGAGAUCGGCUCCUCCGAAAAGCAUCAGCCACAAAGUGGAGUUGUGAAAUGGGCUUUGGUUUGAUAAUUAUCUGUGCCGUUGCCGUGAAUGCUCCCGUGUUGCUUACAGUCAUCCUUUCAGGGGAAGACAAUUUUGAUCAUUUGACCUCAAAUCAGAUAGGACUACCCGCUGAACUUAA